rnacentral:lncRNA from 1 species
AGUCAAGAAGGAUAGGGGACAUAACUCAUACUUCAGAACCCGCCAAAUUGAACGAUGCCAGGAAAAACUGGAAAGAAAAGACCAAAAUCGGCCACUGAUGAGGCCCAUGUAGUUAAAAGUGAGGCAUCCCCUGGCAAAAGACCUAAAACUUCAGUAUCAGCUGUGAAAUUUCGUAUGACAAUUGAGCACUGCAAAUCCUGACAAGUGUUCAAGCGCAAGGCCUUAGCCCUGGUUGAGGACUUGCGCCAGAAGUAUGGGGAGUUCGAAGUUGAACUUAA